rnacentral:rRNA from 1 species
AGAGUUUGAUCCUGGCUCAGGAUGAACGCUAGCUACAGGCUUAACACAUGCAAGUCGAGGGGCAGCAUGGUCUUAGCUUGCUAAGGCCGAUGGCGACCGGCGCACGGGUGAGUAACACGUAUCCAACCUGCCGUCUACUCUUGGACAGCCUUCUGAAAGGAAGAUUAAUACAAGAUGGCAUCAUGAGUCCGCAUGUUCACAUGAUUAAAGGUAUUCCGGUAGACGAUGGGGAUGCGUUCCAUUAGAUAGUAGGCGGGGUAACGGCCCACCUAGUCUUCGAUGGAUAGGGGUUCUGAGAGGAAGGUCCCCCACAUUGGAACUGAGACACGGUCCAAACUCCUACGGGAGGCAGCAGUGAGGAAUAUUGGUCAAUGGGCGAGAGCCUGAACCAGCCAAGUAGCGUGAAGGAUGACUGCCCUAUGGGUUGUAAACUUCUUUUAUAAAGGAAUAAAGUCGGGUAUGCAUACUCGUUUGCAUGUACUUUAUGAAUAAGGAUCGGCUAACUCCGUGCCAGCAGCCGCGGUAAUACGGAGGAUCCGAGCGUUAUCCGGAUUUAUUGGGUUUAAAGGGAGCGUAGAUGGAUGUUUAAGUCAGUUGUGAAAGUUUGCGGCUCAACCGUAAAAUUGCAGUUGAUACUGGAUAUCUUGAGUGCAGUUGAGGCAGGCGGAAUUCGUGGUGUAGCGGUGAAAUGCUUAGAUAUCACGAAGAACUCCGAUUGCGAAGGCAGCCUGCUAAGCUGCAACUGACAUUGAGGCUCGAAAGUGUGGGUAUCAAACAGGAUUAGAUACCCUGGUAGUCCACACGGUAAACGAUGAAUACUCGCUGUUUGCGAUAUACAGCAAGCGGCCAAGCGAAAGCGUUAAGUAUUCCACCUGGGGGAGUACGCCCGGCAACGGUGAAACUCAAAAGGAAUUGACGGGGGGCCCGCACAAGCGGAGGAACAUGUGGUUUAAUUCGAUGAUACGCGAGGAACCUUACCCGGGCUUAAAUUGCAGAUGAAUUACGGUGAAAGCCGUAAGCCGCAAGGCAUCUGUGAAGGUGCUGCAUGGUUGUCGUCAGCUCGUGCCGUGAGGUGUCGGCUUAAGUGCCAUAACGAGCGCAACCCUUGUUGUCAGUUACUAACAGGUUCCGCUGAGGACUCUGACAAGACUGCCAUCGUAAGAUGUGAGGAAGGUGGGGAUGACGUCAAAUCAGCACGGCCCUUACGUCCGGGGCUACACACGUGUUACAAUGGGGGGUACAGAGGGCCGCUACCACGCGAGUGGAUGCCAAUCCCAAAAACCUCUCUCAGUUCGGACUGGAGUCUGCAACCCGACUCCACGAAGCUGGAUUCGCUAGUAAUCGCGCAUCAGCCACGGCGCGGUGAAUACGUUCCCGGGCCUUGUACACACCGCCCGUC